rnacentral:rRNA from 1 species
AUUGAACGCUGGCGGCAGGCCUAACACAUGCAAGUAGAACGAGUUGCGGACGGGUGAGUAAUGUGUGGGAAACUGCCCGAUGGAGGGGGAUAACUAAUGGAAACGGUAACUAAAAACGGAUACCACCGGAUUUGCCCAGAUGGGAUUGGCUGGUGGGUGGGGUAACGGCUCACCUGGGCGACGAUCCCUAGCUGGUCUGACAGGAUGACCAGCAACACUGGAACUGAGACACGGUCCAGACUCCUCCGGGAGGCAGCAGUGGGGAAUAUUGCACAAUGGGCGAAAGCCUGAUGCAGCCCGGCCGCGUGGAUGAAAAAGGCCUUCGGGUUGUAAAGUACGUUCAGCGAGGAGGCGGUACUCACACAGGAAGCACCGGCUAACUCCGUGCCAGCAGCCGCGGUAAUUC